GGGCGUUUAGCGCAGUGGUAGCGCGUAUGCUUUGCAAAUGCGAGCCAAUGGCUUACAUUGAGUGUGUAUAAGGUCCAGGGUUCAAUCCCCUGAACGUCCA
rnacentral:tRNA from 2 species